UCGUAAAAAUGGUUGUGCCAUGUAGCUGACUCAUAUCACAGCCAUUUUUGACGAGUU
rnacentral:pre_miRNA from 1 species